UACGAAGGGGGCUAGCGUUGUUCGGAAUUACUGGGCGUAAAGCGUGCGCAGGCGGCUUCUCAAGUCAGGGGUGAAAGCCCAGAGCUCAACUCUGGAAUUGCCUUUGAGACUGAGUGGCUUGAGUACGAGAGAGGUGAGUGGAAUUCCCAGUGUAGAGGUGAAAUUCGUAGAUAUUGGGAAGAACACCGGUGGCGAAGGCGGCUCACUGGCUCGUAACUGACGCUCAUGCACGACGGCGUGGGGAUCAAACAGG
rnacentral:rRNA from 1 species